rnacentral:rRNA from 1 species
GAUGAACGCUGGCGGCGUGCCUAAUACAUGCGAGUCGAGCGAACGGACGAGAAGCUUGCUUCUCUGAUGUUAGCGGCGGACGGGUGAGUAACACGUGGAUAACCUACCUAUAAGACUGGGAUAACUUCGGGAAACCGGAGCUAAUACCGGAUAAUAUUUUGAACCGCAUGGUUCAAAAGUGAAGGACGGUCUUGCUGUCACUUAUAGAUGGAUCCGCGCUGCAUUAGCUAGUUGGUAAGGUAACGGCUUACCAAGGCAACGAUGCAUAGCCGACCUGAGAGGGUGAUCGGCCACACUGGAACUGAGACACGGUCCAGACUCCUACGGGAGGCAGCGGUAGGGAAUCUUCCGCAAUGGGCGAAAGCCUGACGGAGCAACGCCGCGUGAGUGAUGAAGGUCUUCGGAUCGUAAAACUCUGUUAUUAGGGAAGAACAUAUGUGUAAGUAACUGUGCACAUCUUGACGGUACCUAAUCAGAAAGCCACGGCUAACUACGUG